CUCAUAAUAAUUGUUGUGGCGGUCAACAUGUGGACGAGAGCUAAAGAGAAGAAAACACAGACGGAGGAAAUCGCUGUGCGUUAUGAUGUAGAUGAUGAUACAGUGAACUAUGAAAACAUCAGAUCUCCUGAUGGAGUUUGACCAACACUUCUGCCUCCAUCAGACUCCACUGAUCAACUCGUCACCUUUUACUGGACUAGUUCAAGACUGGAAAUAACUAAAAGAAUCAU